UGGUGGAGUGAUUUGUCUGGUUAAUUCCGUUAACGAACGAGACCUCAGCCUGCUAACUAGUUACGCGAAGGAUUUCCUCCUUUGCGGCCAACUUCUUAGAGGGACUAUCGGCGUCUAGCCGAUGGAAGUUUGAGGCAAUAACA
rnacentral:rRNA from 1 species